UACGUAGGGGGCGAGCGUUGUCCGGAUUUACUGGGCGUAAAGGGCGCGUAGGCGGUCAGCACAAGUCAGUUGUGAAAUCUCCGGGCUUAACUCGGAAAGGUCAACUGAUACUGUGCGACUAGAGUGCGGAAGGGGGCAACUGGAAUUCUCGGUGUAGCGGUGAAAUGCGUAGAUAUCGAGAGGAACACCUGCGGCGAAGGCGGGUUGCUGGGCCGACACUGACGCUGAUGCGCGAAAGCCAGGGGAGCGAACGGG
rnacentral:rRNA from 1 species